ensembl:snoRNA Snora69 small nucleolar RNA, H/ACA box 69
AAAGCAGGUAGCAAUUACAGUGCUUCAUUUUGUGGGAGUACUGCCAUUAUCCUGCUGAAAGAAAAGCCAUGUUGGUUGUUUCUGAUUUUUGCUUUUGGGGUAAAAAUCAUGACACCUUGACAUGAAACAGUU